CUAGCGAGACUGCCGGUAAUAAACCGGAGGGAAGGUGGGGAUGACGUCAAAUCAUCAUGCCCCUUAUGACCUGGGCUACACACGUGCUACAAUGGUUGGUACAACGAGUUGCGAGUCGGUGACGGCGAGCUAAUCUCUUAAAGCCAAUCUCAGUUCCGGAUUGUAGGCUGCAACUCGCCUACAUGAAGUCGGAAUCGCUAGUAAUCGCGGAUCAGCACGCCGCGGUGAAUACGUUCCCGGGCCUU
rnacentral:rRNA from 1 species